GCUGGUUCUGGCACUCACGCAGCCCUUCCCGGUCAAUGGAGGUCUCUGUGGUGAAGAUGUCCCCCGUCUUGCCAUCCACUCGAAGAAUUACUGACUGCUGAGCCCAGACUGAUUCAAGAUACUGACUACUAAAAGGAGAGGAAAGAACUGAGAGUAUGGAGAAGAGGUGCAGGGAAGAAACAACAAUCUGAAUCUUGAGCAGAGCUGAGAAGUAGCAGCAGCUAGGACUCUGGCAAGCCUGACAUUUAUAACAAUGUCGUGAUUCAAACAGAAGCGACUACAGGGGGUCUGCUCCAGCCCAGGUUAGAGUGAUGAGGAAAGAAAGAUCCCAAGACAAGCAUAAAAAAGAGGGCCAGGAGAGUCAGUAAGAGAAUUGGUCACUCUGCU